UCUCUAUUUCUAAUGUCUAAGCACACAAGAAAACUAUAAUCUCUCCUUUCACCUUAUCAAUCUCUUCCUUACAAUAAUUCAGUCAUACCAAUAACUGUUAUUUCCACUAAUAUAUCUUCACUCUUAUAAUCUCCAACUGUAAUACCGCAACAUCACAGUUUCAGCACACAAUUACCCUCAUUCCAAUUACUGGAAUUCUUCACACAGAACUACCAUUCACAUUACAGUGUUUCACACAACCAUAGAUUCACUCUUUCUGCUGAACUAUAUUCAGAUUUCAGCAUUCAAUCUCUCUUCUUCUCAUUCAAUAACAUAUAAUUCCAAUCACACUUUCAUUCCAUGAUUCACUUCACAAUAUUCAGAAACUCUCAAUACUCUUAUUUCAAAGAACAUAACAACAAAAGAAAAGAGGUAGCACCAAGCUUACCCCGGCUCACACUAUCACAGUUUGGCCCCUACUUCCUCUCUCCCAUCCUCCUUAUGCUACCACGAGA
rnacentral:lncRNA from 1 species